rnacentral:rRNA from 1 species
AGCGAACGCUGGCGGCAGGCCUAACACAUGCAAGUCGAACGGAUCCUUCGGGAUUAGUGGCGGACGGGUGAGUAACACGUGGGAACGUGCCCUUUGGUUCGGAACAACUCAGGGAAACUUGAGCUAAUACCGGAUGUGCCCUUCGGGGGAAAGAUUUAUCGCCAUUGGAGCGGCCCGCGUCUGACUAGCUAGUUGGUGAGGUAAAGGCUCACCAAGGCGACGAUCAGUAGCUGGUCUGAGAGGAUGAUCAGCCACAUUGGGACUGAGACACGGCCCAAACUCCUACGGGAGGCAGCAGUGGGGAAUCCUGCGCAAUGGGCGAAAGCCUGACGCAGCCAUGCCGCGUGAAUGAUGAAGGUCUUAGGAUUGUAAAAUUCUUUCACCGGGGACGAUAAUGACGGUACCCGGAGAAGAAGCCCCGGCUAACUUCGUGCCAGCCGCCGCGGUAAUAC